UACGUAGGUGGCAAGCGUUGUCCGGAUUUAUUGGGUUUAAAGGGUGCGUAGGCGGUAAUUUAAGUCAGUGGUGAAAUACGGCAGCUCAACUGUCGAGGUGCCAUUGAUACUGGGUUACUUGAGUACUGAUGAGGUAGGCGGAAUGGACGGUGUAGCGGUGAAAUGCUUAGAGAUCGUCCAGAACACCGAUAGCGAAGGCAGCUUACUAAGGAGUAACUGACGCUGAGGCACGAAAGUGUGGGGAUCAAACAGG
rnacentral:rRNA from 1 species